rnacentral:rRNA from 1 species
ACCGCCCGUCACAUCACGAAAGCCUUUUGUACUAGAAGCCGGCAAUUCAACCGCAAGGAGAUAGCCGUCCAAGGUAUGAAUGGUGAUUGGGGUG